ACGACUCAUAAGUAAAUGUUUCAUUAGUGGGUUUAUUCAAAUGAAAAGUUAACUGGAAAUUACGCUUCUGAUGAGAAGAUAAUUGUAAAGAACACUAUUUAACGCCCGUCUCUCUCAGCUCUCACUACACCUGAUCAUCAACACAGGGUACUGGACAAUUAGAGCACAAAGUUUAAUAUCACUAUAGAAGAACAGACCUUUAAGAGCCAAUAAAAGAUGAAGAACUUUGGCGUGAAGUUGGUUCUGGUCACUGUGCUUCUCCAGCUGUGCCUCUCUAUGUAUGAGGUCAGCGCCCAAGACCCAGCUGAAGGAGAAGAUGGAGGAGCAGCUGAACCAGCAGCUCCUAAAAAAGAGAAAGAAUCCAAAGUUAAAUCAUUCUUCAAAGCUGUGGGAGAGAAGUUGAAAAAUCUUAAAGAUAAAAUAAAGGGUUGAACAUCAGCAUCACCUUCUUCUUUUCCUUUCAAACUUCUAAUUGUGAAGAUCAUCUUAAUAAACCUGAAUGUAGCAAAUGCA